UUAAAAAAAAAAAAGAAAAGUUUUCAAAAAGAUCUUUAAUUAGUUGUAUAUCGUACCGUACCAUACAGCCGUUAAAUAACCAAAGCUAAACAUAGACCUCCCUAUAUUGUAAUGUUAUGCUAGUAAUUGCCACGCUUAGCAGGAGACUUAGCAACCGCAAUUAAGCGUAGAUGUUUUAAACGAAACUCUGUUUUUUUUUUAAUAGGUGAAUAUUUUUUAAUAGGUAAUCGGCGAACACUGCUGUUAAUAGAUUAUUUCUUAUUAUUUUAGUCAGUUAAUAAAUUGUACAUAGUAUCUUACAUAUCUAAUUACCAUACUUGAAGGGGAUGGCAGCGUCCAGCUUUCGGGCGGAGAGUUACAAAGAGACAAGAAACCUCUUCGAAGGAUUAUUACAAAUCAUUAAUAAAACCGGGCUAUUACAGGAUCUUUCCAGAAAAUUCAAUUAGAGUGGUGAAUACACAGCAUUUAUUACAAGUUCCACUGGAGAAAAAUUGGAAAUCUAAAACCUCUAGUAUUGGCCAAUUUAUUCAAAAAUGAAGUCAAGGGUGUGACUAAUAUCAUUAUCAAACAUAUCAUUGCAACCAAAGUCGGUGUGACAUUUUUACAAACUAAAUCAAUCGGCACUGAUAUAAUGCAUACAUCCCUGCAACAGCUAUAGAAGCCAUUGACAUGCUAUGAUUUGUACCCACUGGUAUAAGUAAAGGAAAUAUAUUAAAAAAAAAAUCUAUAUAUGAGAUAAUUAAAAAAAGUGCUACAAAUAUUUUCAAUUCAAUCAUGAAACUAAAUCUUGUAUAUCUACACAGAAAUGCUCAAUAUGUGUAGAGAAUCACUUGUAUUCAGAUGGUAAAGCAAAAACUGUCAAUGUAUUAACUGUGGAGGUCAGCGUCUCGGUAUCUCAAGAGAUUGCCCCAUGAAAAAAUUGAAAAUGGAUGAAGAAAACAAAGCAAAAUAUACACAAACCUUAAAAAUAAAACUUGUAAACUGUAGAUUCAAAUAACAUCAUGAAAAAUAAUAAAGAACUCAUUGAUAGAAUCAUAAAUGCGAUUAAAUUGUAAAUGGACUAAUUGAAGUUGUGGUUUCCUUAGAAAAUGAUAGUAGGGCUCUGACUUCUAAAGUUAUUAAAGACACUUUAAUAAAAAGUCAUAAAAAUGAAUAAGUCAUUUAUUAGAAUUUCUCAGUACAUUAUACAAAUUAUUUCUUUAUUUAUUCUUUAUUGUACACAAAAUAUAAUAAAUCUUUACUAAUUAUAUUCAUCCAUUAAAAUGUUAUUGAUGUUUGCUUGCGAAUGAAACAAUGUUGAGAGAGAGAGAGUUCCAAGUUUAACGUGCCUGGUUAUAAUUUUAUAGGUUAAACUGGUACAGUAGAUGGUCUGUAAGGUGUAGGUAUAUUAAUUAAGAACUAUUUUAAUUGUUCUACUAUUUCUACACCCACCUAUGAUUUUAUGUAAUCUCUAGCUAUUGUACUUAAAACACAAUUAGGCAAUUGAUUUAUAUUAUGCACAUAUU